rnacentral:rRNA from 1 species
UACGGGGGGGGCAAGCGUUGUUCGGAGUUACUGGGCGUAAAGGGCUCGUAGGCGGCCAACUAAGUCAGACGUGAAAUCCCCAGGCUCAACCUGGGAACUGCGUCUGAUACUGGAUGGCUUGAAUCCGGGAGAGGGAUGCAGAAUUCCAGGUGUAGCGGUGAAAUGCGUAGAUAUCUGGAGGAAUACCGGUGGCGAAGGCGGCAUCCUGGACCGGCAUUGACGCUGAGGAGCGAAAGCCAGGGGAGCAAACGGG